AUGAGACGGGAUGUUGAGCGUUUUAUUGCUCGCUACACUACAUGUCAAAAAGCUAAGUCACGACUCAAUCCUCAUGUCACUAACAUUUUGCAGGAGUUCGCUGACGUUUUUCCACAAGACGUGCCACCGGGAUUACCGCCUAUUCGCGGGAUUGAGCAUCAGAUUGACUUAAUUCCCGGUGCUUCACUGCCAAACCGUGCACCAUACCGUACCAAUCCAGAGGAGACGAAGGAGAUUAUGCGUCAAGUACAAGAGCUUCUCGACAAAGGCGGCAUUAAUAAUAUUACUAUUCGUUAUCGUCAUCCUAUUCCUAGGCUAGAUGAUAUGCUUGAUGAAUUGAGUGGCUCUACAAUAUUCUCCAAAGUUGAUUUGCGUAGUGGCUACCAUCAAAUUCGUAUGAAAUUGGGAGAUGAAUGGAAAACAGCAUUUAAAACUAAGUUUGGAUUAUAUGAGUGGUUAGUCAUGCCUUUUGGGUUAACUAAUGCACCUAGUACUUUCAUGAGAUUAAUGAACGAAGUUUUACGUGUUUUCAUUGGACGAUUUGUGGUAGUUUACUUUGAUGACAUAUUGAUUUAUAGCAGAUCUUUGGAAGAACAUUUGGAACAUUUACGUGCUGUUUUUAUUGCUCUACGUGAUGCACGUUUGUUUGGUAACCUUGGGAAGUGCACCUUUUGCACCGACCGCGUAUCUUUUCUUGGCUAUGUUGUUACUCCACAGGGAAUUGAAGUUGAUAAAGCCAAGAUUGAAGCUAUUGAGAGUUGGCCGCAGCCCAAAACGGUCACACAAGUGAGGAGUUUUCUUGGCCUCGCUGGAUUCUAUAGGCGUUUUGUGAGAGAUUUCAGCACCAUUGCUGCACCUCUCAAUGAGCUUACAAAGAAAGAUGUGCCUUUUCUUUGGGGUACCGCACAGGAAGAAGCCUUCACGGUAUUGAAAGAUAAGUUGACACAUGCUCCUUUACUCCAACUUCCUGAUUUUAAAAAGACUUUUGAGCUUGAAUGUGAUGCUAGUGGAAUUGGAUUAGGAGGUGUGUUAUUACAAGAUGGCAAACCUGUUGCAUACUUUUCUGAAAAAUUGAGUGGGCCUAGUCUGAAUUAUUCUACUUAUGAUAAAGAAUUAUAUGCUCUUGUUCGGACUUUAGAAACAUGGCAACAUUAUUUAUGGCCCAAAGAAUUUGUUAUACAUUCUGAUCAUGAAUCUUUGAAACAUAUUAAAAGUCAAGCUAAACUGAAUCGUAGACAUGCUAAAUGGGUUGAAUUCAUUGAGACUUUCCCUUAUGUCAUUAAACACAAGAAGGGAAAAGAAAAUGUUAUUGCUGAUGCAUUGUCUUGUCGCUAUACUAUGCUUUCACAACUUGACUUCAAAAUAUUUGGUUUAGAGACCAUCAAAGAUCAAUAUGUGCAUGAUGCGGAUUUUAAAGAUGUAAUGCAUAAUUGUAAAGAAGGAAGAAUGUGGAACAAGUUUGUUGUUAACGAUGGAUUUGUGUUUCGUGCUAACAAGCUAUGCAUUCCAGCUAGCUCCGUUCGUCUUUUGUUGUUGCAGGAGGCGCAUGGAGGAGGAUUAAUGGGACAUUUUGGCGUGAAGAAGACGGAGGACGUACUUGCUACACAUUUCUUUUGGCCAAAGAUGAGACGGGAUGUACAGCGGCUGUUUUGA
rnacentral:rRNA from 1 species